rnacentral:rRNA from 1 species
AACGAACGCUGGCGGCAUGCCUAACACAUGCAAGUCGAACGAGACCUUCGGGUCUAGUGGCGCACGGGUGCGUAACGCGUGGGAACCUGCCCUUAGGUUCGGAAUAACUCCCCGAAAGGGGUGCUAAUACCGGAUAAUGUCUUCGGACCAAAGAUUUAUCGCCUUUGGAUGGGCCCGCGUUGGAUUAGCUAGUUGGUAGGGUAAAAGCCUACCAAAGCGACGAUCCAUAGCUGGUCUGAGAGGAUGAUCAGCCACACUGGGACUGAGACACGGCCCAGACUCCUACGGGAGGCAGCAGUGGGGAAUAUUGGACAAUGGGCGAAAGCCUGAUCCAGCAAUGCCGCGUGAGUGAUGAAGGCCUUAGGGUUGUAAAGCUCUUUCACCCGGGAUGAUAAUGACAGUACCGGGAGAAUAAGCUCCGGCUAACUCCGUG